rnacentral:rRNA from 1 species
GACGAACGCUGGCGGCGUGCUUAACACAUGCAAGUCGAACGGUGAAGGGACUGGUUUUGCUGGUCCUGGAUGAGUGGCGAACGGGUGAGUAACACGUGAGUAACCUGCCCCCUUCUUCUGGAUAACCGCAUGAAAGUGUGGCUAAUACGGGAUAUUCUGGGUCUGUCGCAUGGUGGGCCUGGGAAAGAUUGCGCCUUUUUUGGUGUUUUUGGUUGGGGAUGGGGUCGCGGCCUAUCAGCUUGUUGGUGGGGUGAUGGCCUACCAAGGCGGUGACGGGUAGCCGGGCUGAGAGGGUGGACGGUCACAAUGGGACUGAGACACGGCCCAGACUCCUACGGGAGGCAGCAGUGGGGAAUAUUGCACAAUGGGCGCAAGCCUGAUGCAGCGACGCCGCGUGAGGGAUGGAGGCCUUCGGGUUGUGAACCUCUUUCGCCAGUGAAGCAGGCCUGCCUCUUUUUGUGGGUGGGUUGACGGUAGCUGGAUAAGAAGCGCCGGCUAACUACGUG